GGUAAACGUAACCAUGGAGGAACCAGGUGCUGAUAUAGAGGUGACUGUCAAAACUUUGGACUCCCAGAGCCGAAGUUACACUGUAGGCGGACAGUUGACAGUGAAAGAGUUCAAGGAGCACAUUGCCACUUCAGUUGGGAUUCCUGUGGACAAACAGAGGCUGAUCUACCAGGGCCGAGUCCUGCAGGAUGAGAGGACCCUGACAGAGUACAUAUCUUGGCAAAUGGUACUUUGUUGCAGCGGCUGGCGUGAAGGAGUCGGAUGUGCAGAUGUUCAGACAGAUGGACAGCACUGUGUUUCACCUGAAUGAGACCUCUGAAAAGACACUACUGUUGACCGGAGCUCAUGCGAGUGUAAGAGACCAGGGAUCGCUGACACACAAUCAUACUGGCAGAGAAGCCCACUCGGGGCAUGUCCCAAUAAUCUCUCCUUCCUGAAGUGUGCGCUUGUUCACUACUCCCCAGGAAUGUAAAAGCAUUGGAUUUGGAUAUGCACGGGCUAGAGGGAGUUUCUUUUAACAGUAAUGAGAAACGGAAGAAGAGAGAGAUUAUUUGGAACACGUCCUUGGUCUGUUUCUGACCCAGAUUUUAACCAGUUGUACACAGUUCAGGCUUAAUUACACCCUAUAUGGUGUUGCAAUGCUUGUGGACUAUUCUACCCUGACUAACAUUUUCAAAGUAUAGGAGAACAUCAGUGUUAUUUACACAAUUACAGUAGAAGCUGUCUGUGUGAUAAUGCACAUAUUUUUCAAUUUUAGGGGUGUUCAUUGCAUUAUGAAAAACUGGACCUAUACUAUUCAGUCUGGCAAAGAUGAUUUGACAUCACAAGGCAGGCCUGAGCUGCAAACUCUAGUGUGGAGUGGAGAGUGGCUGAACUGCAACCAGUGUAUCCUGCUGCAGGAGAUGGAGCGUCACUUGGACCCACUAGAGACACACGACACCCUCAACAGAUUCAUGCUUUACGCUCGUGACAGUGCCUUAUUGGAUAAUAAAGUGGUGAAGGUGUUUCGGACCCAAAUGGCUUGUAAAAAUAUGGAUAGAUUUGUCCGUCUCCCUCAAGAGAAAGAGCUUUGUAAUUUGAAUAAGGCGUAGCACUGAGGUAAGAAUCUAAAUUAUGUUUUACUUUUAUGUUUAUGCACUUAUCACUACUGCUCUUCCAUUUUGUGGUUAUUAGAUUACAUUUGCUCAUCCACAAUCUAUUACAGGCUGCCUGAUAUUUGUUGGAGUCUUCAAUCAAGAUCAUGCUAUGCAUCGAAAUAGGUUUCCUUUUUAGAGUUUAUUAUUAGCGUAUUGCCCACUCUAACUUUGAUCUAACUCAGAAACAUGGAACUAAUUCAAAUGAAGAACUCUCCUCUUAUUUCCCAUGUGUAAUAGUAAAACAAAUAAACAGAAAAAAAGAACAGCUAUUCAAAGUCUAUUCCAAAGUAUCAGAAUGUUUUAGAAUAGCACUAGUGACCCAGGCAUAGACUUGUAAAUAUUUUCCAUCGCUCACUUAAACUUGCAGUGACAUGGCACAAAGUUAUCAGGUUUUCAAAGGGCCUAUUUCCAGGAAAAUAUUUCACUUUCACGCGUUUCUCUUUUUGUGAGAGAUGACUUAACUGUCAUGGUUCACUGAACUGCAUUGUUCCACUCUUCGCCUACGUCCAUCAAUGGAGGCUGCUGUGUGAAGGAUGGCUCAUAAUAAUGUCUAGGAUGGAGUCAAUGGAAAGGUAUCAAACACCAUUGACUCCAUUCCAGCCAUUAUUAUGGGCAGUCCUCCCUUCAGCAGCCGCCGCUGACCUCUAUCUAAAUACCAUUCAUCAAUUUAGAAAAGAAUCCAGGGCUAGUUUACCGGGGGAGUAGCCGCCCACGUAGUUACACUGACAGUGCAGGGGAAAUUCCCAUGAUGCUGCUGACAGAGCAGAGGCUCAGAGCACACAGUCGUUCACAACUAGAGUGGUCAUCCACAGUUCUCUUCUUCAUUUGCUCUAAUGUAAUGUAACACAGGGUUACUGAAAGCAGAAACGGUAAAAUUUGCUUUCACCUGUCCUUUUAUUUCUUGUAAGGUUAUUUCUUUGACCUGCAGUUCAAAAUCAAGAAAAUAUGGGUAUAUGAAGGGGUAGACUAGGGAUUUGGGGUGCAUUGGAUACAUUGUACAUGUCAUUUUUAUGGCUUAAAUACAAUAACAUUUGAGACCAGACUCCCAUGUCUGGUCCUAUUAAAAACACCUACAGUAUACACUACAUUGGCAAUAAACCUUUUCCAAUACAAGAGAGAAUUGAAAUGGAGAAUUCUUUGAGUUAAUAGUUUCUCAAAAUGAUGUCAAAGCCAUUGAUUGAUGUGAAAUAGCGCGACUUUCAUCUGCACCGUCAUCAGUAACAAAGCACCAUGUCCAGUCAAUAUAUUUGACAUCAGGCGAUGUGGGUUUUUACUUGUAACCUCAAGGAAAGGUCAAACAGUGGUGUCCUUUUUGCUUAUGUAACCUUUUGAAUCCUAUGCUGUAGCUCUGGACUCGCGUUCAUAAAGCAGAGCAGGAGUGCUGCUCUGGGAUCAGUUUCGCCUUUCAGAUAAUGAAUAAGAUUACAUAGAUAGGGAACCUGAUCCUAUCAGCACUUCUACUCUGAGAAGCUUUAUGAAUAAGGGCCCUGGUUAGAAAUGAUUGACAUACCAGUGCCAGGAGACAAUCAAUGGCUGAGUUAGACAAAGUCAACAUGUAGCUAACAAUGUCACCAUUCAAGUACCUCUGUGUUUCAACUAUGCCCGGGGCUAAUAUGAAUGUCAGAAAAUAUCCUGAAACCAUGAUGAAAUCCUUGUCUCUCUCCCUCUCCGUUUAUCUCUCUGGUUUACGCACUUUCAAAGAUUUGUGACGCACCAACAUGAAGUCACUUGACUUCCCAGAGACACUUAGGCAUGAAACAACUUGUUGACCGACAGAAAGUACAGAGUACAGUGUGAGAAUUUACUUCCUGUCUCCGUCAGAAUGACUUUAGAUUCUUACCUUUCUCUCACCUGUACGGUGUCCAUAAUAGGACAGCCUCAAUCUCAGCAGGACUUGUUUCAAUCUCAGCAGGACUUGUUUCAAUAAGUUAGUAUAGUCACAGUACGGCUGAGAUUCUAUUCCCAGUGUGUUCCUCUUCAUUUCAGUAUAGUUUCUCAAAUAUCAAUGCCAUUUACAGUAUAUGAAAACAUAUCUUGUUAAGCCCAAAAAUAGGCAGUCAAACUCCCCUGCAUAAUAUUUCAUUACUGUCAAACGAUGGUUCUUCCAGCCCACCUCUAACACAGCUGAUUGUUGUUGAGCAGUUCACUAGUUAUAUUGAUGAGCAGUUCACUAGUGAAACACUAAUCAGGCGGUAGUGCUGGGCAGAAUCACCCUUUAGUUCUCCCUGACCAGGAAUGGUGACCGCUGGUAUAUACCAAUAUUGAGCCAAACACAUCUACGAUGCUGUACAGAUUGAAAUCAAUUAUCUAAAACUGGACAGAAACUGAUCAAUGAUCUAAAACUGAACAGAAACUGAUCAAUGAUCUAAAACUGGACAGAAACUGAUCCAUGAUCUAAAACUGGACAGAAACUGAUCCAUGAUCUAAAACUGGACAGAAACUGAUCCAUGAUCUAAAACUGGACAGAAACUGAUCCAUGAUCUAAAACUGGACAGAAACUGAUCCAUGAUCUAAAACUGGACAGAAACUGAUCCAUGAUCUUAAACAGAACAGAAACAGAAUAGAAACUGAACAGAAUGUGAUUAGAUGGAUGCCAGAAGGUUUCUGCUUUCAACAACAGCAGUGCCUGAACUUCUGCAUUUCAGGAAGAUGAGGAAAAGACUUAAAGGCUAACAUGAUUGAAGGCCUUGUCUGAGAAUUUUGCAUGCAUUGGGUAAGCACCUAAACCGUCUGUGGCAUGUGAAGAAAAGCACAGGUUGAUUGGGGAUGCCCCAUAGAGCAAGAAACCAAGAACAGGAAAGUUACAUAGAAAUCUACAAACAAACGCUCUCUCCUCUCGCUCUCACUUUUGCUCUCUCCACUUUCUAAAAGUUACUUUCAGUCCUGUUUAUGAAAUCAACAGUGUUCAACUUCACGCAUCUGCAUUUCCAUACCCUAUGUAUCAGGAAUCAAGGUAAGACCCAAGUACAGACUGUGUGAAGUAACAAUGUUUAAUGACAGGUCAAGGCAGGCACGAUAAUCCAGAGUAGAGGCCAAGGUACAGGACGGCAGACGGGCUCAGAGUCAGGACAGACAAUGGUCAAAACCAGGAGGGCAAGAAAAGAGACACUGGGGAAAAGCAGGAGCCGAGAAACAAAACGCUGGUUCACUUGACAAACAAGACGACCUGGCAACAGAGAGCACAGGUAUAAGUACCCAUGGGAUAAUGGGGAAGAUGGGCGACACCUGGAGGGGGCGGAGACAAGCACAAGGACAGGUGAAACAGAUCAGGGCAUGACAAUGGCUAUUUCCAUGCCCUAUGUAUGUAAAGUCAGAUUGAGUCACUGUGGCUGCCAGCUGGUUUAUGAAACCAUGAAGAAAACUCCCUGUCAUGUUUUUGUACCUGUCGAACCCACUGACACUGACCUAUAAAUAUGUGUGGGAAAUCACAAGCCGCCCACAUCUGUCAAUGUUGUGCCUGACUCAUCUGUAGCCUUACUAGCCUAUAGUUCCUCGCCACAGGGAUGAUAGUGGUUCUGUCACCUUCUCUUUGCCUGUAUUGUCAUACUUCAGUAAAAGUAAAGAUACCUUAAUAGAAAAUGACUCGAGUAAAUGUGAAAGUGAACUGAAUUUGAAAACUGAAUCUAAAUGCAUUUGAGAUUUGAUAGUUUGCAAACUUGAUACACAGACAAUGAAUGCAAUAUCCACCACAUUGAAACAGAAUAUAUACAUUUAGAAUUUGAAUAUUCAAUUAAGUUGUAAUAUCAUUUUAAAAGUGAAUGCAAUAUUCAUUCAAUUAAUUUUUCAAAUCAUGAAAUACAAGUUACAUUUAUUAAUUCUAUGAAUAAAUUUGUGCAUUGCAAAUGUAAAAUUAUUGCAUUUGAAUUCAGUAUGUUAAUGCAAAUAAAAAAUGUUGAAUUCAAAUA
ensembl:lncRNA